rnacentral:tRNA from 1 species
GGGGUUGUGGCUCGAUGGGAGAGCAUCUGCUUGGCAUGUAUAAGGUCCCAGGUUCAAUUCCCAGCAUCUCCA